UACGAAGGGUGCAAACGUUGCUCGGAAUCAUUGGGCGUAAAGCGCACGUAGGCGGCCUCGCAAGUUGGAUGUGAAAUCCCUCGGCUCAACCGAGGACGUGCAUCCAAAACUGCGGGGCUUGAGUACUGAAGAGGAUCGCGGAAUUCCCGGUGUAGCGGUGAAAUGCGCAGAUAUCAGGAAGAACACCCGUGGCGAAGGCGGUUCUCUGGGACGGUACUGACGCUGAGACGCGAAAGCGUGGGGAGCGAACAGG
rnacentral:rRNA from 1 species